CCAUCCAUGGAACCCUGAGAGAAACUGGUUCGCGGCUUGACCGAACGAAGCAAGAGGUUGGAGAGGACAUGGUUGGGGUUGGUGUUGGGUUGGUUGUAGGUUUGGUUAUAGGUUUGAUUAUAGGUUUGGAAUUCGGUGAGGGUGCGUUUACCGAUGAAGGUUGGUGUUUGUCGUUGGGCGAUCUGCUGAGAGGCAGGAUCUAGAAACAUUGCGGGAAGGUUCUGUUGCUGGGUUCGGUAGAGAGGGUGGAGGUUUGCGGUGGCAGUCGCAGCACCGUUGGGGUUG
rnacentral:lncRNA from 1 species